UCGGCCGCUCUGUUUUAAAACGAAAAGGCAAAAAAUCGCAGUUAUAUUUGUGUUAAUCUAAUCUCUUGCGGUGCUGUUUUACGAAUCACCGCAUUUGGUGUUUGACGGCUUUCGGCAGUUUUUGUGAACUUUAUUAAAAUGCCACCCCGCAAGCGCAAUAAAACGCCGAAGGGCACCCGUCUCGACAGAUCCGGAGACGUUGGAACCAAUGAAUCAAACUCACCUGGCGGCACGACGUAUGAAAACAGCAUGUCCGGAUUGGGGUCUGCACCCACUAAGACGAAUAAACUAAGCUGGCUGUCCUGGGGACGCCAGCAGCCAGCCGGGGCCGCGGAGGGACAGGACGGCUACCUGAGUGAGCAGACGGGGCGAAUCAGCCCUCUUGUCCAAUGGCUGGCCCUGGCCCAAGUCAUCGCGCGCAGGCAUCCGAUCAUCACGUCGAUAGUCGGCAUUAUGUCCCUCAAAACGGCUUUGCACAUGGCCGGCCUCGACUUCUGCCUAUUAACCAUCCCGUAGUUUUCGGUUUGGUGCGCUAGAAAUUGUCAUGUCCUUUGAUGAGAUUGUUGAAAUUUAUGUCACAACCAUUGCGUGCUUCCGCAAGUGCUUACGGGGACAAAGUUUACUAUCGCUAUUGUAUUUCUGAAAUAAACGCGAAUUUCUACGAGA